CCUGGCGGCAGUAGCGCGGUGGUCCCACCUGACCCCAUGCCGAACUCAGAAGUGAAACGCCGUAGCGCCGAUGGUAGUGUGGGGUCUCCCCAUGCGAGAGUAGGGAACUGCCAGGC
rfam:Serratia sp. M24T3 contig010, whole genome shotgun sequence.